GGAAGGACUGGUGUAAGAACUGACCCGCGAAUAAACAAAAGGCCUUGCCCAGAGAACCCAUAGAAGACAGAGCAGGAGAUGAGCGUGCAUCCCUAGAGGUCAGCCAUGACUGGUGACGUCACUGUGGAGCGCAGAGGGGAAGCCACGCAAACCGCAGCAGCGCUUCUCAACGUGGGAGAUUCUUACAAAGAAAUAGAGCGAAACUAAAGUUUCAGAGCACAGUAUCAUCCUACUUAGAUACGAUAGAUUAACAAAUAGAUUGCAAUGAGGGUGUGUGGUGAGAUAGCUUAAAUGAGGAAAGUUGCCAGCCAGCAAGCCUAAGAAAUCCGCAGUUGACCCAGGGCCCACAUGGCAGAACCAACUUCCGCAACACGUGGUCAUCCCUGCCUGAGUCCUCAGAGGAGAUUGCUUCAGACCAUGGAAACAUCUCACUUUCUCAUGACAAACAGAUGACAUUCAAACAAAUGGGAGUCAUCAUGGCAGGGACCUGCAGGGGCUGAAGCAAGGAUCCCAGCAUGCUGUGCGCGUCACACACACUGGAAGGCCGUUUUAAGAAGAGCUUCUUCUGGUAAGAAUGUUGCAACGCAUAAUUGGGAACAUCACGAGGAGGAGGAGAUGACAACUGUGUUCAAAUAAACAUCUGCUUAAGUCCGGU